CCUACGGGUGGCAGCAGUGGGGGAUAUUGCACAAUGGGGGAAACCCUGAUGCAGCGACGCCGCGUGUGGGAAGACGGUCCUCUGGAUUGUAAACCACUGUCCCCAGGGACGAAGAUGACGGUACCUGGGGAGGAAGCUCCGGCUAACUACGUGCCAGCAGCCGCGGUAAUACGUAGGGAGCGAGCGUUGUCCGGAAUUACUGGGUGUAAAGGGAGCGUAGGCGGGAUUGCAAGUCAGAUGUGAAAACUAUGGGCUCAACCGAUAGAGUGCAUUUGAAACUGCAGUUCUUGAGUGAUGGAGAGGCAGGCGGAAUUCCCGGUGUAGCGGUGGAAUGCGUAGAUAUCGGGAGGAACACCAGUGGCGAAGGCGGCCUGCUGGACAUUAACUGACGCUGAGGCGCGAAAGCGUGGGGAGCAAACAGGAUUAGAUACCCUGGUAGUC
rnacentral:rRNA from 1 species